rnacentral:lncRNA from 1 species
CCCGAGGCUCCGCCCCUUGCUUGGUGUGUCCCGCCUCCCCCAUGCAGAAACUGGAAGUGGAAGUAAGCCUCUACACUGGUGCCUUGGGGCCUCCCGGUCAGGUGGUUCCUCAAGGGCGUUUCUCCUUUACAAGGGGUUUCCUCAGUCAGUUUCCCAGCCAUCUUGGGUGCAUCCCUGGCUUGUAGCCCGGGCUUCCCUCAUCUGGGUGGCCCUAGACCCAGGUGGGCUCCUCCCGCUCCUGGCUCCCUGGUGACCACAGCGGGAACUCAGGGCUUCACCUGUGGCUGGGGAGUUUCCCGUAGGCGGGAGCUGGCGAGCCUGAGGUGUUUCCGGUCUCCACCCGAAGCCUCUCUGCAGAGAUCGGAAGCCAUGCUGGUAUCCGGUUUGGACAAGAGCCUGGAGAGGGUGUCCAUGGGGUUCCUUCCUUUCUAGCCAGCUAAAUUUAGUCUCCCAGUCUCCUGUGUUGAAAUAGAUUUGUCACUGUGUCAUGACCAAGGGGAUGAACCAUACAAUCUUUUUAGUAUUAAUGCUGUGAAUUUUACUAACCAGUGAUAAAUGUCCUUGUUUGUUUUGUGGUGCUGGAGACCGAGCCCAGGGCCUCACCCAUGCGCAGGGAUGUUCUAC